rnacentral:rRNA from 1 species
GACGAACGCUGGCGGCGUGGAUUAGGCAUGCAAGUCGAACGGUAUCAUCCUUUCGGGGGUGAGAGAGUGGCGAACUGGUGAGUAACACGUAGGUUAUCUACCCUCAAGACGGGGACAACCCAGGGAAACUUGGGCUAAUACCGGAUGUGAGCAACUUUUAGUUGUUUGAAAGGUGGCGUAAGCUGUCGCUUGGGGAUGAGCCUGCGUCCUAUUAGUUAGUUGGUGAGGUAACGGCUCACCUAGGCAAUGAUAGGUAGGCGGCCUUAACGGGUGGUCGCCCACACUGGGAUUGAGAUACGGCCCAGACUCCUACGGGAGGCAGCAGUCGAGAAUAGUCUACAAUGGUCGGAAGACUGAUAGUGCGACGCCGCGUGAACGAUGAAUCCCUUCGGGGUGUAAAGUUCUUUUAAUGUGAGCAGUGCUUCUAUAUUAACAGUAUGGGGAAGAGAUAUUAGCAUAUGAAUAAGCAACGGCUAACUCCGUGCCAGCAGCCGCGGUAAUCUCG